GUUAAAAAGACUCGUAGUUGAAACCUUGGACCUGGCUGAUCUGUCCUCCUAAUCGAGCGCACGGAUUCGGUCGGGUCUUUCCUUCUGGGGAGCCCUAUGCCCUUCACUGGGAGUAGAGGGGAACCAGGACUUUUACCUUGAAAAAAUUAGAGUGUUCAAAGCAGGCCUUUGCUCGAAUACAUUAGCAUGGAAUAAUAGAAUAGGACAUCGGUUCUAUUUUGUUGGUUUCUAGGACCGCUGUAAUGAUUAAUAGGGAUAGUCGGGGGCGUCAGUAUUCAAUUGUCAGAGGUGAAAUUCUUGGAUUUAUUGAAGACUAACUACUGCGAAAGCAUUCGCCAAGGAUGUUUUCAUUAAUCAGUGAACGAAAGUUAGGGGAUCGAAGACGAUCAGAUACCGUCGUAGUCUUAACCAUAAACUAUGCCGUCUAGGAAGCGGACGGUGGUUUUUUUAUGCCCCG
rnacentral:rRNA from 1 species